rnacentral:rRNA from 1 species
CCUACGGGAGACAGCAGUGGGGAAUAUUGCACAAUGGGGGAAACCCUGAUGCAGCGACGCCGCGUGAGUGAAGAAGUAUUUCGGUAUGUAAACCACUGUCCCCAGGGACGAAGCUGACGGUACCUGGGGAGGAAGCUCCGGCUAACUACGUGCCAGCAGCCGCGGUAAUACGUAGGGAGCGAGAGUUGUCCGGAAUUACGGGGUGAAACGGGAGCGUAGGCGGGACUGCAAGUUGCGGGUCAAAUCUACCGGCUCAACCGGGAGCCGCACUCAAAACUGCAGUUCUUGAGUGAAGUAGAGGCAGGCAGAAUUCCAGGUGUAGCGGUGAAAUGCGUAGAUAUUAGGAGGAACACCAGUGGCGAAGGCGGCCUGCUGGGCUUUGACUGACGCUGAGGCUCGAAAGUGUGGGGAGCAAACAGGAUUAGAUACCCCUGUAGUC